CCCAUGCCCCAAACUAGACCUAAGUCAGAUACUUCCAGAUUGGGGCUGGGGACAGUCCCUAGGACUGCCCAGGCAGAGGUGUAUCCUUAGACUAGGGCGGCCAUGCUGCAGUUCGACUCAAAGUGCUGAGUAACGAUGACCAGGAAGUGUCUCAGUGCGCGUCCUCGCCAACUUUCUGGGUAGUUCUUUGCCGCUUCUUUCUCCUCUCUCUCUCCUAUUCCUUAACUUUAACAGGUGAACCUGCUACUGGGAGAGGCACAGAGCCGUUUAGAGCCCUGUUCUGUGCCCCAUGCACAUGUAGGCAUGAUAGAGAUCGGAUAGUCUAGCUCCCAGCAUUGUCUUGAAGGAUUUAAGGGCUUGAAAACUGACUGAGGACAGCGUUUGGCCCAUAAGGAAGCACUCAAUGAAUUAUUCUAAUUAUAGUCAUCGCGAGCGCUAAUUAAGCUUGCGUGGUGCCUUGUGGGGCCUUGCUGAGUUUGGCUGCCUUGUAUUUACAAUGACAGUAUAGGCUUUGAGGAGAUUUUUCCGCCUUGGGAGAGGACGCCAGGAAGAGUCUUCUUCAAUGAUAACUGAGGUGAUGUUCAGGAGGACAGGGCAUGGUGGAAGAAGCUAAGAUUCUUAAGGUGGCUUUGUGCAGCCCCAAGAGUGCCGCUGUAUGUUCUGGUGAAGCAGCUGAGGUGGAGACUGGACAGAGCCAGCAUCCUGGGAGGAACUCACCAAGCCUGCAUUUGGAGAGCCGAUCUAGAUAAAUCUACAUCGAGAUUGCUUUGUGUGUACUGGUGAAUCCAGGAGACCCUUCAGACAUCUUGCUUCCAGCCUCAGAUGAACACAGAAAACAAGGGCAGAAGACAUCUUGAACAUUACUGAGGGUGGAGCUGGACCACUGAUGAAGCCUGCCUUAUGCCUGCACUCAGAUUUGUGUUUGACUUCUACAGUUCAAGUUGGGUGUUCUGAUAGUUAGAGCCAAGAAAACCAACCCAAGUAUGAGAAGGGCUCAUGAAUAUGUUCACCACCUUUAUUAACUCUUCACUUAUUGAAAUCAGAAAAAUUAGCAUAAAGUGUUUCAGUUGAAUUAGAAAUUAUUGCGAUUAUAAAAUUAUGAGGUGAAGAUCACUAUUUAAAUUAAUGCAACACAAGCCACCAGAGAGCUUUUUCAUUAGGCCAGAGGAAGAGACAGUUUAUAAUUACUCCCAGAGUCUUGUUCUUUUUGCAUGGAUGCCAGGAGGAGGAACCAGUUGCUGAGGAUGUAUGUAUAAGCAUGUACAUACAUAUAUGCAUA